rnacentral:rRNA from 1 species
CAGUCGCCGCGGUAAUACGUAGGUCCCGAGCGUUGUCCGGAUUUAUUGGGCGUAAAGCAAGCGCAGGCGGUUAGAUAAGUCUGAAGUUAAAGGCUGUGGCUUAACCAUAGUACGCUUUGGAAACUGUUUAACUUGAGUGCAAGAGGGGAGAGUGGAAUUCCAUGUGUAGCGGUGAAAUGCGUAGAUAUAUGGAGGAACACCGGUGGCGAAAGCGGCUCUCUGGCUUGUAACUGACGCUGAGGCUCGAAAGCGUGGGGAGCAAACAGGAUUAGAUACCCCUGUAGUCCCUGUCUCUUAUACA